rnacentral:misc_RNA from 2 species
AAGUCGUAACAAGGUCUCCGUUGGUGAACCAGCGGAGGGAUCAUUACCGAGUUUACAACUCCCAAACCCCUGUGAACAUACCUAUACGUUGCCUCGGCGGAUCAGCCCGCGCCCCGUAAAACGGGACGGCCCGCCCGAGGACCCUAAACUCUGUUUUUAGUGGAACUUCUGAGUAAAACAAACAAAUAAAUCAAAACUUUCAACAACGGAUCUCUUGGUUCUG